rnacentral:SRP_RNA from 1 species
UGUCGUGUGAGCUGGCGUAUUCGCAGGCCUCGACCGUAAACCCCCUAUACGACGGGCCGAAAGCUGAGGCUGAGGCGUCUAAGCUUGCCGGGCUCUUCGCCUCCGAACCAUGAGUGGCCGUCCCUUGGGGCUGGCGGUCGUGGGGCGGCCUCCGUAGGGAGGCUUGCCAUCGCGUUUACCAGGCGAACUUGGCCAGGCCCGGGAGGGAGCAACCUAAGCCUGGACGUUCAGCGCUCAAGGGGGCGCGGGCAUGAGCCAGGAGGCGGAUACGGCUCGGCAAAAACUGGGCGCCGAACCUCAGGACCCGCCG